AAAAAGGUGACCAUACCUGAUUAAGUCACAUAUUAAGAAUGUUGGCAAAUCAUUCCAAUCAAAGGAUCAAGUUUGUCUGCAUGACGUCUAACUAUUAUUAGAGAAACUGAUUACACCACCAUAUAUCAUGCAAUACGAUAUUUAUACGAGCCUUGUGCUUAAAAUUAGAAAUUUAACUAUCUCCACUGGAUAAAUAUUGUAUCACACUUGAUGCAGUGAUCUUUAUUUUAUACAUCUCUGUAUACAUAACUUUGCUUUAGACUCUUUAUCAUAUUCAAUCAAAGAAAAACAUUGAAUUGCAAUACAAGAAAAAAAUUAGGUUUAUCGAAAAUAUCAAAACAAACCUGAAAAGUCUUAUAUAAAAAUUAAAAAUCUAUUUUGAUGAGUUAAAAUUUUUC
rnacentral:lncRNA from 1 species